GAUGAACGCUAGCUACAGGCUUAACACAUGCAAGUCGAGGGGAAACGAUAGAGAAAGCUUGCUUUUUCUAGGCGUCGACCGGCGCACGGGUGAGUAACGCGUAUCCAACCUGCCCAUCACUUGGGGAUAACCUUGCGAACGUAAGACUAAUACCCAAUGACGUCUCUAGAAGACAUCUGAAAGGGAUUAAAGAUUUAUCGGUGAUGGAUGGGGAUGCGUCUGAUUAGCUUGUUGGCGGGGGAACGGCCCACCAAGGCGACGAUCAGUAGGGGUUGUGAGAGGAAGGUCCCCCACAUUGGAACUGAGACACGGUCCAAACUCCUACGGGAGGCAGCAGUGAGGAAUAUUGGUCAAUGGACGAGAGUCUGACCCAGCCAAGUAGCGUGCAGGAUGACGGCCCUAUGGGUUGUAAACUGCUUUUAUAAGGGAAUAAAGUGAGAGUCGUGACUCUUUUUGCAUGUACCUUAUGAAUAAGGACCGGCUAAUUCCGUGCCAGCCGCCGCCGUAA
rnacentral:rRNA from 1 species